AACAAGAUGUUGAAUGCGGUUUAUUUUUGUUCCGCUUAAGCACCAUGCACUGGGCAGAGAUCUGCUUGAUGGGAAAGGAUGGCUGCUCUUGAUCUCUGUCUGGAAAGUAAAACUUUGGAUUCCCACUAGCAAAGAAAAAAAAAGGAAAAGGACACCACAAUAAAAUUUUUAAAGUGCUAAUAUAGCAGGGUGCAUUAUUACCAAAUUUUGUAGGGAACUAGAUGCACUUCACUUAGUCUUUAGAACGUAGAAGUUUUCUGUAAAAAAGAGUGCUGGACUUUGCAGAAGUGACACUGUCAUCUUGUGUUAUUCUUUAGCCAUUAUGUAUCAGAGCCUACAUUUUAGGAGCAGCAGAAAUGUCUUAUCUAUUCUUAUGGGGGUCUUGAGGUCAGAAAAGGUAGCGUACUACAGCAGCCAGCACAGAUGCCUUUGCGGUGCUGCUAGGCAGGAAUAGUGCUGGAGUUUGCCCUUGGGAUUGAAGCAGCUGCAACUUCCCUACCUUAAAUUUGGAGGGGUUCUGGAAAAAAGCAGGAGCAUCCAGCACUGGAGCAUGCUUUUGGUGUGGUGCUGCUUGAAUUUCAACAAGACUGGGAUUCUGAAAUGCACUCAGUGCUGCUCCAUUUGUAACUCUCUUUAUCCAGCUGAAUUCAGGAGCAAAAACUGCUAAAAUCAGGAAGGAUGUAUGUAGCAGGUCUGGGGUCUUGCAACACUAAUACAGCAGCAGCCAGAUUAUUUUUCUGCAAGAUUUUUUGCUUGUUUUCUCCUUUAAACAUUAGAAUAUGGUGUUUGGGGAGCAAAAUUGAACUGGUUACUAAACAUAACAAUUCUUAUUUUCAGAUCUUUCUAACACAGUCUGGGGGCAUGCACCUAAAAAGAGACCGUAAAAGUAGACCAAGGUUGAUUUUUGUUUUGUUUUCCUGAAGGGAGUGUCUUCAUACCCAACACUUGCCCACACUGACACACACGUGAUCCUGUAGCCUGCCUUCAAUGCAUCUCAUCCAAGCAGCCCUGCGCAGCGUUGCCAGCACUCGCAGGGCUCGCUCCAACACACAGCAAUAGCUGAAGGCAGAAGAACAGUGAGAUGAAUCUUCCAGAUGAUAUUCUGUGAUGACACUGCUGAGCAUCAAGAACAUAAAAAAUGUUUUUUCCCCAUCCUUAAAACAACAAUGGAUUUAUUGUUCCUUUCACUUCAAAUGGGUUCCUGUUACGUACUUGCUGUGGGACCCUACUGUUGAUUCAGAAAGGCAAGUCUUGCGUGUUUUCUGCUCAAUUCUUUGGGUCAAGAGCACACUGGUUAAUAGCCAAUUAUUUCACACCCUAAGGAAGUUUUGGAAAAGAAGUUCCUGGGAAGAGUCAACUUGUUUAAGGAAAUGAGACUAAUAUUCAGUAGCUCUCCAAAUUCUGAAGCCUGCUGCAAUUAUCUUGGACUCUCUAAACCAGAAUGUGCAGUUCCACCUGAGGUAUCUAAAGAGCAAUAAAUAGCUGUUGAAAUUACGCUGUCAUCAGAACUAUGUGUGUAUUUAUGUCACUCCACGAUUUUGAUGCAUACUGUCUGCACAGAGAGCAGAAGGCUGUAACCUUAGAUGAUGUGGAAAUUAGCAGCUGUGAGCAGUCAUAAUUUUCACCAGAGGGAGAAGAAGUUGUUCCCUGCCCCAAGCUGGCCCAGAGGGGUCCAUGGUUCAAUUUGCUGCAGAAACAGAAGAUUGAAACUCAGAGAGGAAGCAGAAUGUACUCCUAGGGAUGAGAAGAUAAGGAAAAAUAUGCGAGAUUUCAACUUGUGGUCUUUUCACAAGCUAAUUAGCCCAAAUUAGUGGUACAGAACCAUGGACCUAGACUUCGCGCACAGUCAUUCCUUUGCCCUUGCUAGAAAUACCACCAAAAUUUGGAGUAGAACAAUCAGAGAAUCCAUUACUUGUUGUCAGCAGUUAAUGAUUGCAACAUGAAGUGUCUUCACAGAGACCCUUUGGAGAGCCCCGCUUGUGCUCCCAGGGGCAGAGGAGGAGUUGCUUAUGGACUUUGGGAUGAGACGGUAUAAUUCAAGAGAGGAUCCUGCCUGCAAUAAAAUCACUUAAACCUGAGCCUAAGCAGGUGAGCAGACCUCAGAUUUUGAGAGAGUGACUCAUGUUAAAACCAAACAUAUGCUCAAGAGUUUUUCUGGAUCAUGGCCAUAUUGAACCAUAAUAACCUAAAUGGAUUUACUCCCCAGACAAAUUUCCGCUUCCCUUUCCUCCUGCCCACACAUACAUUUGCACCUCAACCAAUUAUUUAGGUCUCUUUCUAUUCCCUACAUGCUACUUUUAUUGAAAAUAUUACGGCUUGUUUAAUCUCAUCUAAGCAUGGGUUUAUUUCGUGUCUUGAUUUCCUCUAUGAUUCAUCAACAGGGUUUUUUUACCCCUACCCAAAGGAUUUCAAUUUUACUGUACAACUUUAAUCAAAGCAAAAUUGUUAAUGCUUAUUAAAGAAGUUGGUGCUGUCUGUGCUCCUUCAUCUUGUCCCUCUCCCUACAAAAAGAUUAAGAAGGUGCUGAAGAUGCACAUUAGGUGAAACUACUGUCUACAAAGGGCAAAAAUAAUAUUUUUCAGCUCUCUGCCUGUGGAUUUUUUUUGCCAGUGUGUGGUCCUAAUAUCUCAAAUUGUAGGCAUUUAGAUGUCAGGUAGCAGGAGGAAAAAAAAUAAGAAGAGGUAUUAUAGUAAAAUAGCAAAGAAACGAUGUCUUGGUGAUAGUUAUAAGUUCUUUUAUUCCUGAAAAAUAGCACAGGUUUAUAAAGUUUUUAUCAUACCUGAUAGAAAACUAACGGCUUUUGCAACUCAUUGCUUGUUGAUUACAUAAGUGUUUUUGAAUGAGGGAGCACUGUAAGGUCCUGUCAGAAGCUAAGCUGACAUGACUUCUGUCUUUCCUUUUCAUUACGAUAGUCAAUAGCUCAGUUGUAAGGAAUAUAAUUGCUCUUUGUGAGUAUAUUAGGCAUUCUUUUGGGAGAGCUAACUAAAAUUUGAGAGCAGAAAAGCAUUUCUGGGAAGAAAAAGAAUAAAAAACCCAAAACCCACCAUAAACAACCCAGCGUGCCAGACAAAUCAAUAAUAAGUGGACGGAGCUGAAUCUGAGACUUUUGGGUUGGGUUAGAACCUCAAUCAAGAUGGUAUUAACUCCAUAAAGCCUGUAUUUUUAGGGGUGGCUAUAUCAAAAUCAAUAUUACUUUCUUGCUUUAUUCGAAAUCUUCCAUGCAUUUAUGCAAGCAAAUCCAUUCUACAAUUUGAUUUCUUUUCUUGAGCUAAAGUCUAUUUGGUAUGUGUGACCUGUGUACUGUGGCUCUGUGUUAAUUAACAAAAGCUGGAUUGUAUGUGAUAUCUCUCACCAGUGUUCUCUACUGAUGACAUUUAUGAUGGAAAUGAAAUAUCUAUACAAAUUCUUCAAUGCAUAAAUUAUGUACAAUGCAUAUAUAUGUUCUGUGCAAGCUGUUCAUUGUUACCUCAGAAAUAAUUCUUUUCUUUUCUUGAAAAAGGAUGCAAUCAUACAUUGAUCAUCAGAAUGUGAAAGCACAAACUGUGGGCAUUAAUGAUCUAAAGCUUUGUGUUUAUGCUGUUCCCCAUCCAAAAUCUUCUUAUUGUACACAAUAUAUCCAAUAUUGCAUUAUUUAAACAUACCACACCUUUGCGAAAGGUAGGUGUUUGUAUACCCAUUAUGCAGAUAAAGCUGCAAGGGUAAAUGCAAAUUUUACCUGUCUGUGCUCUGGGUUAGGCCUGAAUCUUGUGAUCUUGCACUUGGCUAAAGCACUUGGGCUGAUCCUGUUAGGAAAGCUUAGUGGGGCUUAAUAGCUUAGGCUUAGUUAUAUGGUUGCUGUUCAGAACCAGUUUGUGUUGGCCAUUUCAGAGUGUGCCUAGUGAAAGCCUGUCUCUUUGUGCACCUGCCUAUAUAGAUUUGCCUUAAAUAAAUUCGAAAGUGAGACUUUGAACAUUUAGAGUGGAGGUGAUGCAGUAUUAACUGCUAAAUCCACUCAGAAAUACGAACCUAGUUUCCAAGGUUAAACCAUCAAGCACAGCAUCCCCAAGUCCCUGUCUUCUGCAGGUUUUGGAAUGGAAAAGUAUUGCUAAUAUUUUGAUUAACUGUUUUGUAGAGCAAAACUACUGCAUUCCCAGGAAGCUCAUUAUGCUAGAAAAAUGCAUCUAUCACAGAUAACAUCCCCUAACUCCUGAUGCCUCUAAUUUUUGCUUGUGCUACCAGUCUUCCCUUAUCUAUCUCAUAAGUACUCUGUGUGUGAUAUUUAUGAGCUAAUAUCCAGGUAUGAUGUUUAAUCUUAUAGCACGAAAGGAAAACACAAUACACUUACUCAGCAUUUCCUUCUGAAUGGUGCUUUGAUGAUCCAAUUUUCCAUUCCUUGAUAUGACCAAAUUAUUAUUUCAGCAAAACCAGUAGCCUUCAGUGCAAACACACACACAGCUGAAGUAACAAUAAUAGCUGGUUUUACACAUACAUAUGCACAUCCCCCAAAUUGCAUUCCGAAGAACAGAGGUUAGAAAACCUAUUUGAUAACAUGAGUGUGAAAGGGUUUUUUUUUACAAUCACUAUACACAUACUGUGUGAUGCUUGGUAUAGAUUGCAUCUGCAUCUACAGGAGAUAAUAAAUAUUUAAGUGUAUAAAAUAAAUAUUAGCUCUGUUUUUAUAUUAAGAUAAAAGUUCUGAAUUAAUA